UGUUGUGUGGUUUAGCUGGUUAAAGCACCCAACUAGCAAUACGAAGUCGUUGGUUCAAAUCCUUCCAAAAUAA
rnacentral:tRNA from 1 species